rnacentral:sRNA from 1 species
AGAGGGAAGUGCCCUAUGGCGCAGCCAUAAUUUCAAAUGGCACUGACCGACCUCUCAGGAUUGCGGAGCAAUCGUGAGGUUACAUUAG